rnacentral:rRNA from 1 species
UACAGAGGGGGGCAAGCGUUGUUCGGAAUUACUGGGCGUAAAGGGCGCGUAGGCGGCCGCCUAAGUCAGACGUGAAAUCCCUCGGCUCAACCGGGGAACUGCGUCUGAUACUGGGUGGCUUGAAUCCGGGAGAGGGAUGCGGAAUUCCAGGUGUAGCGGUGAAAUGCGUAGAUAUCUGGAGGAACACCUGUGGCGAAGGCGGCCGACUGGGCCGACCCUGACGCUGAGGCGCGAAGGCGUGGGGGAGCGAACGGGG